UUUUAACUCACUUUCAGGUACAAAGUCCAGUCAUUAUUUGACGUCAAAGCAGCCAAAGGCAAUUAGUAGUUAGGAUUAGGUCAUGUACUAUAGGUCUCUUUCAAGAUUUUGAGAUAGAAGAGGUGAACCUGGCCAUAUAGAUUAUUUUUCUAACUCAAAGUCCAAAAUAAUUUAGGGCAUUCCACAUAUCCUUGUGGAGUCGGUGGUGGGUGAGUUUGGUUAAUCUCUUGAUAUCCCAGACAUGCCCAAGCUACCACCCUUUAGGGGGUCACCCUUCCUUUAAGCACUCAAUGAGCGUCUGUGCUCUACCCACCCCCAUCUGAGUACAGGAAACCCACUUUCCCCGGCUGCCAUUCUGAGGAUCCCUGAGGAGCACUGAUGACUUUCCCCACACUGUCUGUUGCUUGACUCUGUCACCAUAUGUCGUAGACCACCACUCUGGGCCUCUCUGACGGUCACUUCCAGCAACUUUGUAAUCACAUGUCCAAGCUUCUGUGGCUCUGCAUACAUCACUGUAGCUGGACACAGCCCCCCAGGAAUGCUCCCAAACACAGUUACCAUCAGACUGUGGCCUUUAACUUAGCUUUACUUAGGGCAUGUGGGGUGGGGCAGUGAAGGGGGGUGGAAAUACAGCGCAGGGAAGGGGCAGCCUUAAAGCAGAUGACCGGACCUCUGCAUCCCUGGUUGCUCAUUGGCCACGUCCCCCGCCUCCCAGUUCCCCUACUCACCAGCUUGUUCCUCUCCCCAUGUUUCAGGAACCAGCUUUAUCCCCGGUCUGGGUCUAGCUUUAUCCCCGGUGAGGGUCUUCUUAAUCCAGUCCUCCCUCCUUGAAGUCCAGGCUCCGACCCUCCCCGUGUCCAGGCCCACGCAGAGGAAUAAAACCCACAACACCUUUAUUCCAUUGUAUGAAUGCACCAUGGUUCGUUUAUCAGUAUUAUGAAGACUGACAAUACCAACUGUUGGCAAGGAUGGGGAGCAACUAGAACUCAUAUAUAUUGCUGAUGGGAAUUUAAAAAGAAUAAAAAAAUUAAAAUCAAGAACAGAAGAUUUAAAUCUGAUGACUAUCCUUGCUGAGAGGUCUGACUGCAUCACACAAGUAUCACGCUGAAACCAUGUACAAGCAAUGAGGAAAAAUACUUGUUCUACUAUGAUAGCACGUGGAAAAGGCAGGAUUCUUGUCAUCUCUCUAAUUAUGUAAAAACAAUGUGCCUUUAUAAAGAUAAAUGCUAGAAGGAACAUGGACAAGCAAAUAUGGUUUGGUUUGCGGAGUGGCAGGACUGUGUUGAGAACACUCACGGCGAUUUCCUCUUCUCACAAACACACGAUGCAAAUGGCUUAGAUGUUCAAAUGCCAACAUAGAGACUUGUUAUCUCGGGAGAGGCGUUUCAAAACACCUUCGCCUUCAAAAGGAGCAGGCAUUUGGCUUUUUGAGUCUUGUCUUGUAAAAUUUCAUAGUUGCUUAUCUACCCACUCUGUUGAGUUUAGUCAGCUCUAAAAAAUAUAUAUUUCAUGUCCUGAGAGAUGUUGUGGGCUUUGUAAUUGUGUUUUAUCAUCUUCCGGAAUAAAACUUUU